AUCCAGCUGACGAGUCCAAAAUAGGACGAAAUGUGCAUCCUGGAU
rfam:Trichobilharzia regenti genome assembly, scaffold: TRE_scaffold0007378